rnacentral:rRNA from 1 species
UACGGAGGGGGCUAGCGUUGUUCGGAAUUACUGGGCGUAAAGCGCACGUAGGCGGCUUUGUAAGUUAGAGGUGAAAGCCCGGAGCUCAACUCCGGAAUUGCCUUUAAGACUGCAUCGCUUGAAUCCAGGAGAGGUGAGUGGAAUUCCGAGUGUAGAGGUGAAAUUCGUAGAUAUUCGGAAGAACACCAGUGGCGAAGGCGGCUCACUGGACUGGUAUUGACGCUGAGGUGCGAAAGCGUGGGGAGCAAACAGG